rnacentral:lncRNA from 1 species
UUGCAUUAUAAAUUCUGAAGCUCUCUAAGCAACCUCAGGCCUUCUAGUGAUCUCAAAUUGCAAUUAGGACUCUUGUACUACACGUAAUAGGCUGGCUGUCUUCUAGAGCGUCCACAAUAAGUCUCGCAAGCUUGGAUGACAAUAAAUCUGUUGAACAAUAUCUUAUUUUAUUUUGAUCCGCCUGUGGAUCCUUUGCAUUCCGUGGGUAAUACUUGAUAUUACUAUAUAUCGGUCUGUAAUACAUUUAUCUCUUGCUUCCGCUGUGCAUUAUUAUAUUGUGUUGUUUGUCUAUGAUGAUGCCAACUACGUCACUAUACUCCCCACCGGGCCCACCGGUGACACGUGGAAAUUAGGGGUGUGACAGAAACCCUAACCUAGGGUCUGUUCGCUGGAAAUCGGGUGUUUUUCAAGGACCUGGCGUUAAGAUCUGAAGGUCGUUAUUUAUUCAAGAUCAGUUGUGGUCUGUUCCAAGCAGUUUAAUGUGUGGUCAAGAUCUAUGGCGUUAGUUUGAGAACUGUUACUCAAGAUUUACUGCUGACACUUAACAAGAUAGAGGUUGAAGAUGGAAAUCUCAAGUGUUAUUCUCAGAUGAGUCGCAAGGCUUGUUUUCAGAACUUCCUUUCCAUAUGGUCCUCAUAGUUGAAAUCCCAUGGUCAUAAUACUGGUUGAAGAUACUUUGGGGUGAUUCUGGUGAUCUCGAAACCUAGGGUUUCUGAAAGUUUUUGUUCAAGAUUGUUUGUGUUCUUCUGCUGGGUUUUCUCUUCAGAUUAGGGCUUUUCAUGACAAUCUGAACCCUAAGGUCUUGUUAUCUUUCUCAUCGCGUUAGUUUGAGGUUUUUGAAUAAAUUAGAACUUAGUGAAGGUACAACAGGAUGUCUUUGUGAAUAAAGACAUACAACAGUUCUUGCAUUUGUUCCGAAUGAUACGGUAUCUGCAUUUGCUUGAUCUGUUCAUAGUCUGUAUUCCACGAUUGCACUGUAAGUGUUUCUAAACCUAAUUGGCGGUUGGAAGACUCUUUAUUUGAUCAUCGAAGGCAAAAACUGGACGUGUAAGAUCUGUUUAUUCAACUUUUGUGGGAUAUGGCCAGUUCAGUUUAUCUGGUGAAUACAAAAAAUCAAAAGUUUUAUCCCAAAAUCUUGGGUUUCUUUUGGCUGCGGAAAAUGUUUCUUUUGUUCUUCACUAUGAACUCGUAACCGUAAGUGAAGGUUACGGUUCUUGGUGCGUGAAGAAGAUUACCCUUAUAUAGGGCGCUCCCGAGGUUAGAUCGUUCCAUUCUUGACUCUAGUUUGUUUUUUGUUAUUUCCACGAUUUUAAUUGUUUUAGGCAUUGUUUGACCGGGUUAGGGGGACCGGUAUUGAUAACAAGGAGAGCCACACCCUGUAUUUCUAUGUUAUCUUGUUGUGAUUUAUUGGUUAUAAUGUGGUUGCAAGAUUGUUUGCUAUUGUCUUGGUAAAUCUACUUGUUACUUGUAUUAAUCAAUAUUAUUCAAACUGUGUGUUUCUUUUCGUGUUACAGUUUCUCUAAAUCUCAAAAUUGCUCUUGUGUUGCUUUAGUUAUGGAAAUGAUUUGGUGCUGCUUAGUGGUUUGAUUCAGUAAGUAGAUUAAAGUUUUUUCAACUUUCAUAUUUAGUUGUAUCUUAGAUAUGAUGUUAAUCAUGAUUCAUGAAGUUAAUACUUAAAGGAUUCAUGCAUCUUUGUCUACUUUGUCUGGGCCGUUAUGACUGUGUUAAUCAUAAGGUUUGUAUUUGUUCUCUGAUUAUAAUUGUUUGUUUUUUGAAUUUCUUGUGGUUUGUCGACAAGUCUCUGUCUAAAUGUUUGGUAUAAAAUCUUGUUAAUCCUUGUCUGUUUGAUUAGGGUUUAUUCCUUAAUGUUUGUGUAUGUUAAGGUUUGUAGCUCUAUCGAUGUCUUCAAUUGUACUCCGGAUUUUCUCUCAAGGGUAUCAUUAGUUUUACUGGUACGCAAAAUAGAUCUAGGAUUCUUGUAAGUGCUGAAUCCUUUAGAUCUAGUGGUGUGUUCUGUACAGAUUAUCAUGUUUAGUCCAAAGGCUUUAUAAUAUACAGGGUUUUUCAAAGAUAUAACAAGAUACAACUUUUUAUUGGUUGGUAUAUAAAAUUACAUGUACUCAACCCAUAUAAUACAUGAGGUUCUUAAAAAUGUAACUUUUUUCAUUAUUUAAUAUAUAAAAUUAAAUUUACUCAACCCAUACAAUACACGAGGUUUUUAAAGAUAUAAUUUUUUAUUAUUUAAUGUAUAAGAUUGCAUUUAUUCAACACAUGUAAUAAACGAGAUUUUUAAAGAUAUAUUGUUUUAUUAUUUGGUAUAUAAAAUUACAUUUAUUCAACCAGUGUAAUAAACAAGGUUUUUAAGAUAUAUUUUUUAUUAUUUGGCAUAUAAAAUUACAUUUAUUCAGCCCGUGUAUUACACGGGGUUUUAACCUAGUGUUUGUGAUAUAUGUGUUGGUGUUUAGAUUUUUACUUUGUCUCUCUCUCUCGUUUGUUAUCACGGUUGGAUCUAGAGUUUGUUACGUUGCUGUAAUCUCCUGUUAGAUCAUAGUGUUGUGAGUUAGAAUAGAUCGUCUAAUUGAUGAUCUAACUAGAGUGAGUGAGAGUGUUCGUAUUGUGAGUUGUUAUCUGUUGUAGUCUUGAGGUUUGUUAUAAAUAGGUUUCUUGAAUUGUGUUUGGUAUGUUGAAAGUGUGUUUUAUUUUAUUUGCUAUUUUUACAUAAUACACUUCAUUAAAGUUGGGCUGUUUUGAAGAUGGGCUAAAUGCUUGCUGCUACUAGACUGAGGUGCGGAUAUGGGUUCGCUUGCCAGGACACGGCCCGACGCAUCUAUCAAGUGGACAUGUUAUUUUGGGCUUAUAAGACUAAAUGGACUGUCAAGUAGCAGACUGGACUUAGUGGGCCGGGCUCUCUAGAGUAAAGACUUGAAGCAGUGUGGAGCUCCGAAUCGGGCGAGUCUUGGACCAGCUAUAAAAGGCUUUUGAUCUCAAAGCUCAUUAUUGGGGGAAAAGAUAUUUCUCCAGAAGUUUCUUUCUCUCUGUCUUCAACGUUACACAAUGACAUCGUAGAAUUAGGGUUUUCUUCAUCUGAGUUUCUCUGUUAAUUCUGGUGUAAUCAGAUCGUUAAGUUGAUGAUCUGAUCUUGUUUGUGUAUAUGUAUUGAGAGUUCAUCGAGUGAUAUACAAAGAUUUGUUGUAAUAAUUCAUCAUAAAGUUCUGUUAAUACCAUUUUUGACAAAACCAAAUUCAUCUACCUUUAU